UACAGAGGGUGCAAGCGUUGUUCGGAAUUAUUGGGCGUAAAGCGCGUGUAGGCGGCUUUGCAAGUCGGGUGUGAAAGCCCUCAGCUCAACUGAGGAAGUGCGCCCGAAACUGCAGAGCUUGAGUGCUGGAGAGGGUGGCGGAAUUCCCCAAGUAGAGGUGAAAUUCGUAGAUAUGGGGAGGAACACCGGUGGCGAAGGCGGCCACCUGGACGGUAACUGACGCUGAGACGCGAAAGCGUGGGGAGCAAACAGG
rnacentral:rRNA from 1 species